rnacentral:rRNA from 1 species
GACGAACCGUGCGAACGUUAUUCGGAAUCACUGGGCUUAAAGCGCGUGUAGGUGGCUUGGCACGUCUGUCGCUGAAAUCCCACGGCUCAACCGUGGAACGGGCGCGGAUACGACCAGGCUUGAGGGAUGUAGGGGGAUCGGGAACUUCCGGUGGAGCGGUGAAAUGCGUUGAGAUCGGAAGGAACGCCCGUGGCGAAAGCGCGGUCCUGGACAUUUCCUGACACUGAGACGCGAAAGCUAGGGGAGCAAACGGG